rnacentral:lncRNA from 1 species
AUGGGGGAAUUGUCCCUCCUUAAGCAAACUCGCUGAUCCUGCGGUGGGGUUGUCAGGCUCAGGAUCUGGGGACACCAGAGGUCUGGCAGGUCCUGCCACAGUGCUCCUAUCAGGAAAGAGAGAGAGGAAUGGGGAGGUGGUGCUUCCUGUCAGAAGGCUGCUACAGCUAAAGGCUUCUAAAUGGAACCUGGAACCUGGAUUAGAGAGAGAGAUGAAGGAAACUUUCUUCUUGUUUUCUGGAAUGGUGACAGCCUCCAUCCAAAAUCAUUCAAGUAACAGCGAGCGCUCAGGAUCUGAGCAGGUUUAAGUCGAGAUCAGGGGUGUGCUCCCUCUGUGCCUGGCUGUGAAGUGAAGUUAAACACCUGAAGAAGAGCCACCCUGUAACGUAACCCCUCACCAUGGAGUACGAUGCUGGCCAGCACAAGCGAGCGAGCGCAAUCGCGUUAGUCACUGGUUGCUACCCACCUUUUGGUUAUUUAGCAGUCCUGUGUAUGGAAUGCCUGACUGCCUCCCUCUUCACAGCGCUGCAGGAAGGUCUGCGCUACCGCUACCGAGCUAAGAGCUGACAUUUAGCAGAUACCCCUCGCCCAGUGCCUCUCCCACUGAGUAUUUACCAUUAAGUCGGUGACACUUGAUCUUAUAAUCCCAACACUGUGAGGCAGGAAAAUUGUGCCUCUGAUUAAGGCCGAAGAAGCCUGGAGAAUUUGAGUACCUCACCCAAGAUCUACACAGCUGGGGUUGACGUCAAGUAAGCUGCUGCCCCUGGAAAGAGCGCGGUGCACCACAGUAGCACCAAGCCCCUGACUGUUUAAUACUACCCCGCCGCUGGGUCGCUGCGGGUCUGCCUUUCUAUUAUUAGUCUCACUGCGAGGCUUCCCAUUACAGUAAUGUGCUUUCCAUGGUCUCCUCAGAACUGAGGUUUCCCAUGGUUCUCUUCUUGGUAUAUUUCUGCCUUGUGAGGGACGGGUGUGGGGGACUUGAUGGUAGAGACUCUUCCCGGAAACUCCCCUCAGUCUCUGCUAACAGACAUGGAGUUAAAACUCUGAUCCUCCAAGAGUGAGGUUAAGAUCUAUAGAGGAGCUUAUAAUUAUAUGUGACACUUCCUAUAGUCAACAGACUUUUAAUAAGUAAAACCAAAUUUUGAUUUAGUAAAUAAAUUAAUAAAUAAAAUAAAUAACAGCGGGUGUGACUGUCCCCACUUUGCUCAUAUAGAGACUGUAUUUCAGGGGUGAAUAAACCUCCUUUUUGCCACACAGUGGGCAGGGUGGUCAAGACUAAGCACAUUCUUUCAACAACAAGAUCAUAAUGCUUCAAGUUGCCCCGGGAAGAAAACUGUAGUGGUUGCCCACAGCUGACCCUAGUUGAACUUACUUUUAUCUUAGUUGGAGCCAAAGAGAUUCCAGAGCCUGGAUCUGGCCACCAUGGCUACUCCUCUGGACUUGUCUUCCCAGGCCUGGCCUUCCAUGAGAAUGGACCAUUCGUUUAUUCUGUUCUCUGGUGUAGCCCUGGCCAGGUGCCAGCAUAUAGCAGACACUCAGCUAUUUGUUGAUCGAAUAAAUUAAUAAAUGGAUAAAC